AGAGUGAACGCUGGCGGCAGGCCUAACACAUGCAAGUCGAACGGCAGCACAGCAGUAGCAAUACUGUGGGUGGCGAGUGGCGGACGGGUGAGGAAUACAUCGGAAUCUACCUUGUCGUGGGGGAUAACCUCGGGAAACCGGGACUAAUACCGCAUACGAACUAUGGUUGAAAGCGGCGGACCGCAAGGCGUCGCGCGAUUGGGAUGAGCCGAUGUCCGAUUAGCUAGUUGGCGGGUAAAGGCCCACCAAGGCGACGAUCGGUAGCUGGUCUGAGAGGAUGAUCAGCCACACUGGAACUGAGACACGGUCCAGACUCCGUACGGGAGGCAGCAGGUGGGGAAUAGUUGGACAAGUCGGGGGGACCAACCCGUGACUCCACGCCAUGCCGCGUGGUGUGAAGAACGGCCGUUCGGUUAGUAAGCGUACUUUUAGGUAGGGUAAGGAAACGUACG
rnacentral:rRNA from 1 species